rnacentral:rRNA from 1 species
AACGUAGGACGCAAGCGUUAUCCGGAGUUACUGGGCGUAAAGCGCGGGCAGGCGGCUCUGUAAGUCUGAUGUGAAAGCGCCCGGCUCAACCGGGCGAGGCCAUUGGAAACUUCAGAGCUGGAGGGCAGUAGAGGCAGGCGGAAUUCCGGGUGGAGUGGUGAAAUGCGUAGAGAUCCGGAGGAACACCGGUGGCGAAGGCGGCGACCUGGGUAGAUACUGACGCUGAGGUGCGAAAGCGUGGGGAGCAAACAGG